rnacentral:rRNA from 1 species
AGAUAGAAAGUUACUUCGGUACAUCGGCGACAGGUGGUGCAUGGUUGUCGUCAGCUCGUGUCGUGAGAUGUUGGGUUAAGUCCCGCAACGAGCGCAGCCCCUAUUGUUAGUUGCCAUCAUUCAGUUAGGCACUCUAGCGAGACUGCCGGUAAUAAACCGGAGGAAGGUGGGGAUGACGUCAAAUCAUCAUGCCCCUUAUGACCUGGGCUACACACGUGCUACAAUGGUUGGUACAACGAGUUGCGAGUCGGUGACGGCGAGCUAAUCUCUUAAAGCCAAUCUCAGUUCGGAUUGUAGGCUGCAACUCGCCUACAUGAAGUCGGAAUCGCUAGUAAUCGCGGAUCAGCACGCCGCGGUCGAAUACGUUCCCGGGCCUU